rnacentral:misc_RNA from 1 species
GUAGGAGUGAGCCUGCUCGCGAUGAGGUCGUUACAUCCAGCAUCAUUAUUAACUGAAACACCGCAAUCGCGAGCAGGCUCACUCCUAC